rnacentral:sRNA from 1 species
CCCUAGCCCAGAUAAAAGCGACAUCCUUUCAGGGCCUGAUUUUUUUCAGGACCAGAAAGAUAUAGCGGUUAGCUGGAUUAGCU